rnacentral:rRNA from 1 species
UACAGAGGUCCCGAGCGUUGUUCGGAUUCACUGGGCGUAAAGGGUGCGUAGGUGGCAGGGUAAGUUUGAUGUGAAAUCUCUGAGCUUAACUCAGAAACUGCAUUGAAUACUAUCCUGCUCGAGGGUUGGAGGGGGGACUGGAAUUCUCGGUGUAGCAGUGAAAUGCGUAGAUAUCGAGAGGAACACCAGUGGCGAAGGCGAGUCCCUGGACAACUCCUGACACUGAGGCACGAAAGCUAGGGGAGCAAACAGG